GAGUGAGAGUUGCUGUAAGAGUCCCAUUCCCACCUGUGCCCAUGGUGACUGAGGAAACCCCCUCCCAGGCUGGGCCUGAGGCUUCUUCCUCCAGAGCAUUCUGACUCUCAUGGGAGCCCUUACCCCCACCU